UUAUUGUGUGAAAUGUCAUUAUACAGGGUGUUUCACAAUGAAGUGGCAAUAUUUUUACAGUAUUUUCUAGAAGUCUAGGGAUUCAAAAAUGUCUUAUAAACAUAGCUCUUCAAAUGCAUUGUUUUAAUACUAGAAGGCAUUAAAGUUUAGAUUAGCUACCUCUUAAGAUUCUGCUAAGCACCACUUAGCAGUGCUGCAGAAAAGCCUCAAUCUUGCUGCCUUCAGCUUCUUUCCACUUUAGCAAAAACAUAAGGUUUUUGAAGGUAAGAAACUUGAAGUGUAGUAAGAUUGAAACUAUACACCACAGUACUUAGCAGUGCUGCAGAGCAGCAUCUUAAUAAUUUUUUCAGUACUUUAAUGCCUUCUAGUGCUGAAACAAUGCAUUUGAAGGGCUAUGUUUGUCAUACACUUUUGAAUCCCUUAAGCCUCUAGAAUAUCCAUGAGAAAGUAGAAAUUCAAGAAAAGAUUUUAAAAUAACAAAAUUUCUUAGCAUUUAAAUAGUUAUGAUGCAUUAUUUUGUUUAGGAUUAUGUGUCACAAUGUUUCUGUGGUUAUAUAUAGAACAUUUAUUGUCAGGAAAACAUUACAGGCUUCAAGAUGUGUCAUUUGAAGUACCAGCUAUAAAUUUUCAAACAGAAUCUUUAUUUUAUAGAAUGGGAA